UUGACUUUUGAGAGGCAUUGUCUAUGCUUGUUUGCUGUCAGAGAUAUUCAAGAGAAAGAAGAAAUACUGUAUAACUAUGGAGAUACUCAGAAUCUCUGGUGGAGAAAUAAGUGGAACAUACAUGUAAUGGAAACACAGAAAAUGAUGAAAAUGGACAGGGUGACUAUGAGGGAAGCAGUAGCUGCAGCAACCAAAGGAACAAGUCAGGUUCUGUUCAGGAGUCCCUAAAUGGUAUUCAAUGUUCUGCAAUGCUUCCAGAGGAAACUUGUUAUGUUAAUGAAGAAGAUACUAACGGUGAUGAUGAACAGGUGGAAUCAGUUCAAAAGAAUGUUCCUAGGACAUCUACAAAAUGCUCAGGCAAGAAUUAAGUUUCAU